UGAAACCGAUGAGAUAAUUCAAUGAUCAUUUUAUGCAAUUUAAUUUUGUGAUGCCAGCUGAGAGAGAGAGACCUCGAUUUGCUUCUACUACGGUUCAGAUUGAUUAUCAGUCGGAGCGUAGAGCGUCUUCUUGCUUGCAGUUCUCUUGGAAGUCCUCCGUGGCUGCUCAAUUAGGCUUCUCUCUCGAACACUGCAUCUGCAGCUCCUUCUUACAGUCAUUAUCCUGCAAAACUCAAGAACAUUUAGAUCUUUGUUCGUACCCACCUGCGCUACCAGUUUAGCACAGAAGAACAUCAAAUCCCAGCUGGUGGGUAUGGUGCGCGAAGGGACACAACAUAGCAGAUAAAGUCAACCUGAGAGAAGAAGCGUUUGCAACAACAUCUUGGUCGAGUUGUUUAAGGUUUCUGUUCUGAACGACGUCGGUGCCGCCGAUAUGCAACUCCUUGGACGCACACAAUGAAGAACAAUGCGCUCAGUUUCGUAGGUCUGCUGUGAUUUUCAUUCCGAUAUUCCUAAAAGGGUUUUGUCUUAGUGUUCCCAAAUUGGGUUUUUUCCAAUUUGUAAUUUGCAUGCAAUGUGUUCGUCAAAUGUCCUACAAGACACCCUCUUUCUUGCAAUUUUUGUAGCUUAUCUGCGAAAAUUGUUUGGGGGCUUUUUUCAGCUGGCGGGACUCGCUAGAAGGACUUAGUUGGUCUUGCCCAUUGUUCAUUUGAUGGACCCAUGGCCGGACAUUUUGUCGGUAAACCAAAUUUUCAACUUAGACCCACAUCUUUGACUUUGUUUUAUGUUAGAUCCAUCUCUUAAACUUAAAUCUGCAGUUUUCUCCUGAAGCAUUCUGCACUGAAUCUGCAUCCAGGUAGAAAUCUCUUAGUAGAGAAACUACAUUUACAUCAAUCCUUCUGAUCCAGUUAUCAGGUUCCCGUUCCACUGAUAUGUAGAAGAUUUUACAAGGCAUGAUAUUGUUGUCAUCAUUUUCCAAAUCACUUCUUCGCAGGAACUGAUCAAACUGAAAUGUUGGAACGUGGGUCAUCACUUAUCUGAAUAGAAUUGAUGAAGUGGGUCAGACAGUAAUUUGUGCAUGAAACUUAUGGUUACUAUGACAAGGAUGAGAUUUCCGAAGCGUUACUUGAUUGUUGUUCUAACUUUCAUCUGUACAUGUGUUUGCUAUAUAGAACGUGUGGGCUUUUCAAUUGCAUACACUGUUGCUGCAGAUGCUGCGGGAGUAAACCAAUCAAGCAAAGGGAUGAUACUUUCUACAUUCUAUUAUGGGUAUGCCUGUUCGCAGGUGCCUGGAGGAUGGGCAGCUCAGAGUAUAGGGGGAAGGCGCAUUCUUCUCCUAUCGUUUGUGCUAUGGUCUUUAACUUGUGCUUUAGUCCCUUUAGACCCCAAUCGAGUUAUGAUCUUGGUAAUUGCCCGUUUGCUUGUUGGGGUAGCGCAAGGGUUUAUCUUCCCCUCCAUCCACACUGUGCUAGCACAAUGGGUACCACCCCAUGAAAGGUCUAGAUCUGUUUCUCUUACCACGUCUGGAAUGUACCUGGGUGCAGCUGCAGGAAUGCUUAUUCUUCCUAGCCUGGUGAAGUUCAGAGGCCCACAAUCUGUAUUUGUUGUUGAAGCAGCGUUAGGGGUUGUGUGGUCUCUACUUUGGUUCAAAUAUGCUAGUGACCCACCGCGUUCUGAGCAUCCAAAAGCCACUGCUGCAGGAUUUGGGGAAUUGUUGUUGCCCAUCAAAGGGACUCAUAAGGUAAAAGUGGAGAAUGGUGGAAGCUCUGGUAGACCAACUGGAAAAAUCCCAUGGAAGAGAAUUAUCUUUAGCCUGCCAGUGUGGGCAAUUGUGGUUAAUAAUUUCACAUUCCACUAUGCUUUGUAUGUGCUGAUGAACUGGCUACCUACAUAUUUUGAACAAGGCCUCCAACUGAGUCUCCAGGACAUGGGUUCAUCUAAGAUGAUGCCAUAUUUCAACAUGUUCAUAUUCUCAAAUAUUGGUGGGGUUGUUGCUGAUUACUUUAUCACCAGGAGGAUCUUCUCUGUGACUAGAACCAGAAAGAUGUUGAACACCAUAGGGUUUGUAGUUGCUUCAUUUGCAUUGAUGGCACUUCCUACAUUCAGAACAUCUCUUGGGGCGGUUUUUUGUUCUUCUGUGGCUCUUGGUUUCUUGGCACUAGGGAGAGCUGGCUUUGCAGUGAAUCACUUAGAUAUUGCUCCAAGAUACGCUGGAAUUGUAAUGGGAGUUUCUAAUACAGCCGGUACAUUAGCCGGUGUCAUUGGGGUUGAUCUGACUGGGCAGCUUCUUGAAGCUGCUAAAAUGGCUCAUUCUGAUCUCUCAAGUCCAGAAAGCUGGAGAGCAGUAUUUGUCAUACCUGGGUUGCUUUGCAUUUUUAGUUCUCUAGUGUUCUUAAUAUUCUCUACUGGUGAGAGGAUUUUUGACUGAGACAGGUUGCUUGCAUGCAAAUGCUUCCUGGCACAUUAAUGUUGUCGUCUGGUAUAUGCAAAUGUAUAUUGUUGGAGCUCUCUGAUGCCUGCUCAAGCAUAUAAUGCAUCUCCAACCGAGGUAUAAACUGCAUUGAGAAAACAGUCCACCAGAGAUUUAGAGAAGAAAAGAGGAGGAAUAAAGGAGCAGCAAUGUUUUAUAUGUCCCACCUUAUCUCCAACCAAGAGUGCUGCCAUUAUUACCAAUUGUAUCUCUCAUUGCUUGGUGGAAGAUUUGGAGACUCCAUUAAAAGUUGCAGGAGGAUUGGUGGCACUCUGAACCUUUGGAAAAGUUGACCUGCGGUUGUAAGCAUAUAAAGAGUGGAGGUUCUAUUUACCCACCUUGGCCUUUUGUUGUUAAUUUCAUGGGCUUUCCGUAUUGUCUUUGCAUUCUAGAGGAAAUGGACCACCACUACAAAAUAAUAUAGGUGGCUGGUCCUAAAAGUGGAGGCCUGGUGUGUUCUGUGGAAUAACGUUUUCUCCAAUGUUAAUUUCACUUUCAGUAGUGCCUUUGCACUAUGGUAUGGAUCAC